GGGGGUGUGGCUCAAUGAUAGAACACUUACCCAGCAUGCAAGAGGACCUGAGUUCAAUCCCCAGUAACCCCC
rnacentral:tRNA from 1 species